CCGAGUCGACUCCGGAAAAGCGUGAGUCGACUCCUGCUACAGCCGAGUCGACUCCUGAUCGCGCGAGUCGACUCCAACCCACCAACGGUCAUAUUGUCAGGCUGCGCAGAGUAUGCAGAACGGCCAGAAAAAGCAGAGUAACGGCUAGUUUCCGUGGGGAUUGGCUUAAAUAGCCACAGAGGACUGUAGCAAGGAAGAGAACAGACAUUCCACUCCAAGCAUUCAAGUUUUCAAGCUCUCCAAGUGCUCUUAAACGAAAAAGGGGAGAUCUGCAUUUACUGCUCCAACAACUCCUUCCCAACAAUCAAAGCUUCCUCCUCCUGCAUUCAAGUCGACCACUCUUUCAAGAGGAGACCGGAGUUCCAGAAGCCAUACCUCUUCACCAGCUUAAAAGCGUUUGAGGGCUUCUAACUCCUUUACGAUUAUAUUGUCUUAAAUCUGCUUUUUGAGAAGCUAUUUUCUGUUUUCUUCUAUCUCUUGUAUUUACUUGAUUCAAUCGGAGGAUUGAAU
rnacentral:lncRNA from 1 species